AGAGUAUAAAAGAGACUGCGACACAUCGAAGCUCACUCCUUCACACAAGUAUCUUUGUGUCUGGAUCACAACCUGAUUUCUUAGAGAACUGUUCAACAAUACCGUCAUCAAAAUGAAACAACUUGUUCUACUGUGUCUGGUUUUGCUGAUCGCUUUGAACGUUGAAGCUCGUCAUCGUUUCCAAGAAGAUGAGGAUGCAUUUUGGAAGUACUUCAAUAUUGAAAAGCGAUGCGUUGAUAAAGGUGGCUCAUGCUCCAAAAGCUCAGACUGCUGCCAUACCUAUGUCUGCUCAAAGGGCCCUGAUCUCAAGAAGACAUGUUUUUACGGCUAGAUUAUGAAUCCAACUGCCCACUUUGUUAAUAAUAAAUAAUCAUAACUAAAAAAGAUUAAAACCGCUUGUAAGUUUAAACCACUUUUAAGAUUAAAACCACUUUUAAGAUCUUCCUGA